rnacentral:lncRNA from 1 species
UUUUGAACUAAAUUCAAAUACAAUAACUACGCAUUAUUAACACAUGAAAUUAUAAUAAGCAUAAAAAGAGAUAUUAACAAAAUACUACAAGAAUAAAAAAAUGCUAAAGGAAAAUAAAAUCAAAUAAAAAGCAAAAAGUGUCACACAUGAGUAUUGAACCCUCCCCACCUAAUAUUAUGCAACUGCCCUCUCUCCACUAGGCCACUCAACAAUAUCUGCUAUUAAGAUACU